AUUGAACGCUGGCGGUAGGCCUAACACAUGCAAGUCGAACGAGUCGCGGACGGGUGUGUACUGUCUGGGCAACUGCCCGAUGGGGGGGGAUAAAUACUGGAAACGGUAGCUAAUACCGCAAACCAUCGGAUGUCCCCAGAUGGGAUUAGCUAGUAGGUGGGGUAACGGCUCACCUAGGCGACGAUCCCUAGCUGGUCUGAGAGGAUGACCAGCUACACUGGAACGGAGCCACGGUCCAGACUCCUACGGGAGGCAGCAGUGGGGAAUAUUGCUCAAUGGGCGCAAGCCUGAUGCAGCAAUGCCGAGUGUGUGAAGAAGGCCUUCGGGUUGUAAAGUUCUUUCAGCUGGGAGGCGUUACUCUCAGAAGAAGCACCGGCUAACGCCGUGCCAGCAGCCGCGGUAAUAC
rnacentral:rRNA from 1 species